rnacentral:rRNA from 1 species
AUACGUAGGGAGCGAGCGUUGUCCGGAUUUACUGGGUGUAAAGGGUGCGUAGGCGGCUGAACAAGUCAGGUGUGAAAACCAUCGGCUCAACUGAUGGAUUGCACUUGAAACUGUGCAGCUUGAGUGAAGCAGAGGCAGGCGGAAUUCCCGGUGUAGCGGUGAAAUGCGUAGAGAUCGGGAGGAACACCAGUGGCGAAGGCGGCCUGCUGGGCUUUAACUGACGCUGAGGCACGAAAGCAUGGGUAGCAAACAGGAUUAGAUACCCUGGUAGUCCAUGCCGUAAACGAUGAUUACUAGGUGUGGGUGGUCUGACCCCAUCCGUGCCGGAGUUAACGCAAUAAGUAUUCCGCCUGGGGAGUACGGUCGCAAGAUUAAA